rnacentral:tRNA from 1 species
GCGAGCGUAGUUCAGUGGUAGAACGCCGGUCUGUGGAACCGGAGGUCGCGGGUUCGAAACCCGCCGCUCGUACCA